GACGAACGCUGGCGGCGCGCUUAACACAUGCAAGUCGAGCGAGAACCAGGGCUUCGGCCCUGGGGACAGCGGCGAACGGGUGAGUAACACGUGGAUAACCUGCCCUCGGCACCGGAAUAGCCCGGGGAAACUCGGAUUAAUGCCGGAUAGCGCCUCAGCCCCGCGGGGCAGUGGGAAAAGGUAGCUUCGGCCGCUGGCCGAGGAUGGGUCCGCGGCGGAUUAGCUAGUUGGCGGGGUAAUGGCCGACCAAGGCGACGAUCCGUAGCUGCUCUGAGAGGACGAUCAGCCCCACUGGGACUGAGACACGGCCCAGACUCCUACGGGAGUCAGCAGUGGGGAAUCUUGCGCAAUGGGCGAAAGCCUGACGCAGCGACGCCGCGUGCGGGAAGAAGGCCUUAGGGUUGUAAACCGCUUUCAGGAGGGACGAAGCCACUCGGGUGAAUAGCCCAGAGGGUGACGGUACCUCCAGAAGAAGCCCCGGCUAACUACGUGCCAGCAGCCGCCGCGGUAA
rnacentral:rRNA from 1 species